GUGCUUGCUUCGGCAGCACAUUUACUGAAGUGGGAAUGAUGUAGAGAAGAUUAAUAUGACCCCUGCACAAAGAUGACAUACAAAUUUGUGAAGCAUUCCAUAUUUUA